UCUUCUGUGAAAGCAGAACUCACUGCCCUCUUUUCACAGCAAACAAAGCAAACUUGAUCUGAGGCAGCCAGUCAUCAGAACAAAGUUGAAUGGAUAGCAAAAACUAUUGCGAAAUUUUUGUUUUUGCUGUUUGAGCUCCAGCCCUGAACAAGUAUAAAGAGGGCAGAAUCCACAUUCAAAGCCAGAGAGUCAUCAAGGGCUAACAAAAUGGAUCUCCUUCCAAGCUUCUCCACUGAGACAUGGUUCCUUCUCAUUGCCCUUCUGGUCCUUUUCAUGCUGUAUGUAUCAUUCUCUUCUUGUUUCUUUGGCCGUUUUCUAAUUGUGAAAAAGAAAUGGGGGCGUUUUAAAUCUGCUUCUUCUUCUGAAAGCCAUAAGAGAUAGCAGCCUCUGAACUGCUAGGAUAUUUACUUCCAAGGAAGCUUGCAUAUGGUUGGGUUGUAGAAGCAGCUCUAGAAGCACAGCAUAUUGUAUGCACUAAUAGUAGCCUUAUCUUCUAUACAAUCAUGAAGCAAAAGCUGUCAUUUGGCACUCACCUCCGAAGUGGUCCUCAGCAGCUGAGGGACAGAGAGAAGGAAUGGAGACACAGGACAAAGUUCUUGGGCAGAAGCAGCCAAUUCCUAACCCACUCUAUCUAGCCCAGGACUGCGAGGCCUUUAAAGCUUAAAACUAGGGAAGAAGGUGACAACUCUGGAGAUUGAUGAAAGGUUGACCUCAUGCGGUUUGAUCAGCUGGCCAUCAACAAAACACUUCUGGCUAUCACUGGGCUGAUGGAAUUUUCUAAACUGCUUUCAUGGACACAGCCAUGUAAAGAACAUUAUAGCAAUCUAAUUGAAUACUAUAGCCAUUACGGAGGGCGGGAGGUGGGAUGAGCUUUUGCUACCCAGCUCUUUGCUACCCAGAAUGUAAUUACUCUGUUGUUGGGCUCUCUGUGUUGUAUCCAACCAACUUUCAGUCAGAGUAGACCCUCUGGAAUUAAUAGAUCUAAGUCACGUCCUUUAGUUUCUACGAGUCUGCUCUCAGGAGGACCAGCAAUGGUUGCAACCCAAUAUGAAUAGAACUCAGCAUGUGUGUGUUUGUGUGUUUGCUUUCUGUUUCUGAUUUAAUUGUAUCCCACAGUUAAUUUUUUUUAAAAAAAGAAUAUCUGCUUCUGCUGCUUUCAACUUCCUGCGACAGUAUUUCUUUUGCUCUUUAUCUUUGAUUUAUUAAUAAAUUUUUUUUUUAAAAAAAGGUAUUUAUUAAAAGUUUAAUAGUUACAGAAAAAAGAAGAAAGAAACAGUGAAAAGUUCACAAUACAUCAAAAAUAAAGAGAAAAAAACAAAAAACCAAUACAACAAAACAACAAGAAAAGCAAAAACAUUUUAAAAAAACCCACAUCCAAUAUCUCUAUAUCUCUACCUUUCAUUUACUUGUAUCAUCGACCUCCUCACACCUCCCUUUUUUGUAUUCUUGUUCAAUUAGCUAUUUCAGCAAAUCCUUUCCAUCUUUCUCAAUUUUUGUUCUAUAAUUUAUCUUAAUUUAUUUUAACCUUAUCUUGCCAUAAAAAGCCCUAAAGCUUAAAACUUAUUUGUACAUAACUCCUUAUAGCAUUUCUACUAAAGCCAAAUAGUUUCAUUCCAACAUUUUUUCUAACACUCAUUAAUUUUACAAUAUUUCUCUAAAUGAAUUUUUAAACUUUCUUCCAAUCUUCAACCACCGUCUCUUCUUCCUGGUCUCGGGUUCUGUCAGUCCUUUCUAUCCAUUCCAUUUAGUCCAUCAACCUGGUGAUCUUCUAUCCGAGGCUCUUAACUCUUUUCCAUGUCCCUUCUGCAGGUCUUCUUCAUAUUUAUACCUGCACCUUACUUUGUCUUCUGCUGAUCUUGUUCUUAGUUUCCUUCCUUUAUCGCUGAGGAGUAGAUCUCGGGGAGACUCCAACCUAACAAUGUCUUUAUCCCUUCUCGACAGGUCGGCCCAUUCUCCAUAGUCAGCACUAAAAUCCAAAAGAUAUUUCAAGGCAUGUUUCAAAGUCCCUCCAAAGUUAAAGGCCCCCACAACUCCAGACUCCCCCUGGCGCAAAACCAGAUCCCAGAAGCCAGAACAGCCCUGCAUAGGGGGAUCUAUCCAAUUUCCCAUCUCCAAUCCAAACGAGACUCCAUCUCUCCAAAUCUGACUUUCUCCAGGUUCGGUCAUCAAAAACAACAGCUUAUGUUCCUGCAAAGCCUCGGCUCUCUCCACAUGUAUUUCUUGAGGUUCAACAGCAACCUCCUCCUUUGUCUUCUGCACAACUUGCCCUGUCAAAGCAGAUUCCUGGGUCGGUUCCUGAGUGGUUUCUACAUAGGUAUUCACUGUUUGUCCAAAAUUAUUAACUGCAACAGUCAUCAAAUCCAUCUUCUCAUGUAGCUGUUCCAAUAAAGCGCUUGUCUUGCAAAAAGCAAUCACUAAGGCUUCUUCUGGGCACAUUCUUGUUCAAGGUCAAUGUCUGGUUCUCACGAUCUUUAACAGCAGCAAGAAUAUUGAUAGCCGGAGAUUGAAAAGAAGCAAAAGGUACCAAUGUACCAAAAAUGGUAUCACAUAAUUUGGGAGAUGGCACUUUGUGGAAAAUGGAUGCAAACAAUUUGUGAGGGCAACCAGCAUCCCCCCCACCCUGAACGACUUUUAAAGCAGACUAGUGGCUGUUUAUUCUGCCCAAGAACAAAGACUGCAGGACAAAGUGUACCUGUCACAUUUCAUAUUAUGCGGCCGUGCUAACACUUCCCUUUAUAUUGACAGCAGCAGGGCUUUUUCCCCAGGGGGAACUCCCAGGAACUCAGUCCCGCCACCUCUCAGUCGGUUCUGGCACCUGUCAGGUGGGCACCUAAGAGAAGGUUCCUGGUGAGUUCCAGCAUCUCUUUUUCUAGAAAAACAGCCCUGGACAGCAGCAACGAUUGGACUCUUUCUGCUCCAGGGCUUAUGAACUCUCCUGUUUUUAUUCUGAUCUCAGCUAUGCCUUCAAGCUGGGAGGGGAAGGUGAGAUGCUGAGCUUGACAUUUUCAUCUUUUCACAUAUAACUCAACACUCACACAUGCAAAUAUAAAAAUAAUGUUCCUUUUAAAGUACAGCAAAAAACCAAGGGUGUUUGCUAAAGACAAACAGAACAGGGAAGGAAAGAUCUGGAUUUUCAGGGGAGAGAUCAGCUGGUGGACUUUGGAGCCUGUUUAUUGCUGUAUAUAUUGCAGAGCAGGGUGUGCAGCAAGUAGAUCUCUAGGAAUUGGUGGGUGAUUUCAUUGAAGGAGCUUUGCAGGCCAGUUGCUUUCUGCCCACAUCAACCCCCGGUUUAAAGCUUAGUGAGGUGGGGCCCACAAAUCCCUCCCUUGUUUUCUGGCAACUUUAAUUGCAGAAUGACUUUUCUCAUUGUAAAAACAGUGCUUUUUUCUGGGGGAAUGCAGGGGUACAUAUUCCCCUAAACAUUUUGUGCAUCUUUGUACUUUUGCCCAUUUACUGUAUUUAUCUUUCCUGAUUUGAACUAUAAAAUGGUGAUUUUCUUGAGUCAAAAUGAGAGUACUCCUAAACAUUUUUAAGAAAAAAACAAACCCACUGGUUAAAAAGACUCUUAAUGUAACAACAAAGUUAAUCAAACUCAUGUGUGCCAAUUUUUUUGCCCUGUGGUGCUCAUGUCAGUUCCUUGUGGGAUUUUUUAACAGGAGGAGCCCACACACAGGCGCAUCAACCUGCCAGGUUUCCCCUCUGAACCCUGGACAGGCUUUCAUGCUCUGCUGACAGAUUUGCAUCUCUCUCUCUCUCUCGUUUUACAAAAUAAACAGAUAUGGAUUUUGGCCGUAUGGCGUCUUCAAGAAACUGGGCAUUCCAGGUCCAUCGCCGUUGCCUUUCUUUGGAAAUAUCUGGUCCUAUCGUAAGGUGAGUGUCUGCUGACAUUCCUGCCCUGCUCAAGAGGUUUCCUGAGGCCCCUUUCUGCUCCCCCCUCUUGGGAUCAGAGGUGCUCCUCAAAAUGAGCCUUAAUCCGGUUCAGAAAGGCCGUUCUUAACUUUCUUAAAUGUCUUUCCACAGGGGUUUAUCAACUUUGAUACAGAGUGCUUUCAGAAAUAUGGGAGGACCUGGGGGUAAGUGACCUUUUAUGACCUGCUUGUAUUUCUCAUGUUAGCCCAAAUCCCAUUGCUUGAUCCCAAGGAGGAAAUGUUCUGGGGCAGGAAAAUGCUACAUCUGCAACUGGAUCUCUUUGGGAUCUCAAAAACAUACCAUUCUUUACUCUUAAUCCAGGAUUUACGAGGGCCGAAAGCCUAUGUUAGCUACGCUGGAUCCGGCUAUUAUAAAAGCUGUCCUCGUGAAAGAGUGUUACACCACUUUCACCAACCGUCGGGUAGGCAUUCACUUCUUAAGCUGUACAAUAGCAUCAUGGAAGGAGGAGUGUUCAUACACGUCACUCCAUUGGCACCAAACUGGGGUAAUGGGGAGGGCAGAUUAAUCCCUCUCCCAAAGUCAAGUGUGAACUUUGCCACCCAGCCAUCACUGCCCUCCAUGUUUAUUCCGUUUACAAUUCGCUGUUGGAUAUUAUUGGUUCCACAUCUGUCAUGAGUUCAAAACCUGACUUUGCCACUCAUUGGUUCCAAACUGUUUUGCUUCCUCUAGGAUAUAGAUUUAGUUGGGAUCUUGAAGUCUGCCGUCUCACUGGCAAAGGACGAACAAUGGAAGAGGAUUCGCACUAUUCUCUCUCCAACCUUCACCAGCGGGAAGCUCAAGGAGGUAAAAAAAGGAAAAAGAUAUUAAGUAUUAAGCACUUCCACUGGUAAAUAUGGGUUGUACAGUUCAAGCACCAUUCAAACUGUUCAGUCUGAAAUUGCCCAUAGGUGUUUACAUCUCAGCUCAUUGAUUUGUAUUUCAGAUGUUUCCCAUCAUCAAACACUACGGGGAGGUUUUGAUGCAAAACGUUCAGAAGAAAGUGGAAAAGAAUGAAUUUGUGGUUAUGAAGGAGUAAGUGGUUUGAGCCAGGAAAGGCCUCAGUCCAAAAUAGCAUAGCAUACAAUGUAGGCUGCCUUUGAGGUGAAUCCAGAUCACAUUGGGUGGCCAGAAACAGGCCUAUGGAAAAUCCUAAGUACAGUGGUACCUCGGGUUAAGUACUUAAUUCGUUCCAGAGGUCCGUUCUCAACCUGAAACUGUUCUUAACUUGAGGUACCACUUUAGCUAAUGGGGCCUCCUGCUGCCGCCGCGCUGCCGGAGCAUGAUUUCUGUUCUCAUCCUGAAGCAAAGUUCUUAACCUGAGGUAAUAUUUCUGGGUUAGGGGAGUCUGUAACCUGAAGCGUAUGUAACCCGAGGUACCACUGUAUACUGAGAGCCUGAUUUGGCUGCUCUGUUCCCUCCCCAGCAUCUUUGGGGCCUACAGCAUGGAUGUCGUCACCAGUACUUCGUUUGGUGUGAAUAUUGACUCUAUGAACAACCCUGCAGAUCCUUUUGUCAAGGAGAUCAAGAAGGUGACCAAGUUUGGAUCUUUUGAUCCACGCUUCGUUUUGAUAGGUAAGUUGGCUUCUGAUUUCUGAUGGCCCAGUGGAAGUUUGCAGUCUGGUUAUUAUGGAAACAUAAUAACUGGUCCAUCAAGCACAGAAUUUUCUACAGAUUUUUCUACUAGGUCCUCCAGGGUUUCUGACAGGGGCCAUUCCCAGCCCAGCCUGGUCACGAGGACCAAAUGUGGGUCGACCAUUGAGCCAUGAUGGCCUUUCCAAAAUAGGAUUUCUUUCUAGACUGCACUUGGAUCUAAAAUAUUGUGAGGAUUAUUCUAAGAACUGGCUUUGCCCCCACCCUCACCCCCAGCUGGAUACCUGGAGGUUCCCGCCUAGCAUCAACAAUUAACCAAUCCCAGCUGUGGGGGACGUUGCCAGGGGAGUUGGCCAGGUAGGGUUACGACAGCCCCACAUUCACAAUAGAGGGUGUAACUUACCUGUUAGUCCUCAGUCCAAUGCUUUGCUUCAGGAAGGUUAAUUCCUGUUCACUGUACGAUUUCUGUCUCUUGCAGCCAUGUUUCCAUUCCUGACUCCUCUUCUCAAAUUAAUGAAUGUGAAUUUAUUCAACGCAGAAGCUUUAAGCUUCUUUUCAAGGUCCUUUGCAAAAAUGAAGGAAACACGGCAGAAAGAAGGGCAAAAGGUAAGAAUUAAGACUGUGCCGUAAUUUGGGGAUGAAUAUCGUUGGCUUGGAAAAGGGCUUUCAUUUUGUGUGUGUGUGUUGUGUGUGUGCGUGAUUUUUCACUGAAAAAUCCCCUAGGAUUCAACUUUUCUCUGUGCUGCUUCACUGCUUUUUGCUCCACAAAACAGCCUAAUAUCUUGACUCUCUUACCCCCUCAGUAUGUCCAGUUGUGCCUAAGUACAGUGAGAUGAUCUCACAACCAAUGUCCUCAAGGGCAAAGGGGGCCAGUUCUCAUGGCUGUAUUUAGCCCUUUAAAAAACCAGGGGCUUCAAACCAUCUCGGCCCAGUGGCCCCCAUGGGAGUCUCUCUGCCGCACAUUUCCUCCACUGGUUUAUUUGUUUUCUGGUUAGGGCCGGGUGGAUUUCCUGCAGCUGAUGAUUGACUCCCAAAGUGCCAAGACUGACCACCAGAGCAAUGGCUUGAACCACUCCUAUAAAGGUAAUGCCACACAAUUUAACUGAACUGAAGGGAAGUUGUAUUUCCUGAAGACUUGAAAUUGCCUAUCCCAGUUUGAAAAAUGCAGUGCAAUGAAUGUUACCUACACAGAUCAUGUUCCCGAGUUGUCUUUCCUGAGGAGUUGAAAUUGCCCAAAUCCUCGAUGACUUAGGAACUUCACUUGCACCUGAAUAAUAAUAAUAAUAUUAAUAAUAAUAAUAAUAAAGCUAUUAUUUAUACCCCGCCCAUCUGGCUGGGUUUCCCCAGCCACUCUGGGCGGCUUCCAACAAAAUAUUAAAAUACAAUAGUCUGCCAAACAUUAAAAGCUUCCCUAAACAGGGCUGCCUUCAGAUGUCUUCUAAAAGUCUGGUAGUUGAAGACAGGCUCCAGCAGAUUGAGUGGAAGAGACCAAUAGUGUGUCCUACGACAGUUUCUGCAUGUGCUGUAGAGGGAAGUGAGGAGCAAAUGGGUCUCGUCCACCUGGGAAGGCAGCCCAUCUAGGAGUGGGAAAACUCUGAUCCUAAACUUUGGUGGGAUAUCUUUGGGAGAAGAAAAGGCUGAGGAGUAAACCCUACAGAAAUUCAGAGCGGAAUCCCUAAGACAAUUGGAUGGUGCCUUGUACGCCUUCUUCCAGCAAGUCCUGCAGCCAAGGUGGUGCCAAAUGUUUUGCUCUGCUUUCCUUUGGACAUCAGCAAGGCCAAGAGGAGGGUUCUGGUCUUCUGGGCAGCCCAGGACCUCCAGACACACUGCCCAGGCUUGGGGUACUGGAGGGGUCACUUCAGUCCUGCAAAUACAGCGAUUUGACUUCACCCCCAGAGGCACACUCCAUCGUCUCUCAAGACAGAAGGAUGCCAGAAACAAGACUGCACCCACAGACACGAUUCCAAACCAACGCCACACAGUCUUCUAACACUACAUAUGCUGUUGAUGAUAAUGACUUUUCAGUCUCUUGUAACUCAAAGGUCUCCAAGUGACUUUGUUGUUGUUGUUUAGUCGUGUCCGACUCUUCGUGACCCCCUGGACCAGAGCACGCCAGGCACUCCUGUCUUCCACUGCCUCCCACAGUUUGGUCAAACUCAUGUUAGUAGCUUUGAGAACACUGUUCAACCAUCUCGUCCUCUGUCGCCCCUUCUCCUUGUGCCCUCCAUCUCUCCCAACAUUAGGGUCUUUUCCAGGGAGGUGGCCAAAGUAUUGGAGCCUCAGCUUCAGGAUCUGUCCUUCUAGUGAGCACUCAGGGCUGAUUUCCUUAAAAAUGGAUAGGUUUGAUCUUUCAGUGACUCACAGCAUAUUUUAAAUAUAAAUAUAUUAUAGCACAAAACAGAACAAAGCAGGUCCCAUAAACAGCCAUAGGAAGCUUGGGCAGCAGACCAGUAGCAGCAAAGCAUCAUUUCAUUCUAUCAAAAGCCAGGGGGAAGCCUUUCCUGGUGUUAAAAAGAGGUCAGUGAAGGUGCUUGGCAGACCUUGCAGGGGAGAGUUUUGCACAGAAAGAGAGCCACAACCUAAAAGGCCCUACUCUCCCUUGUCAUUACACUCAGUGGUAAAGGCCUCAGAAUAUCACUUUCCACCUUAUUUAAGUUGCCUGCAGGACUGUUCCCAGAAUUCCCAUUUUUUUACUGCCCCCCCUUGAUUCCACAAACUCAUUCUCAGUACCUCCUCCCCUCUCAAAAGCAUUACUAUCCAAAUAGCGAUUUGCACAACACCCUAAGGCAGACAAUGACACAAUAAAAUUCAAAACAGCAACAUUUGAUUGCACAUUGAUUGAAAAAUCACAUUAAAAGGGUUUAGUUCAAUUAAUUCAACAAAACUCAUGAACUUGAUCUUGUGAGACCAGCUUUUCAAAAUCUGAUAGUCAUUUAUACCUCCAGCAACCCCUUGCCUUGCAAUGCAUGUUACCUGCACGGAUCAUGUUCCCAGCCAGACUACAGGCUGUACUUGUUUACACUUGAACUCUCUCACUUCUGCUUGUUUGCAGGUUUGACUGACAUUGAAAUCCUGGCCCAGUCCUUCAUCUUUGUCUUUGCUGGAUACGAACCCACCAGCAACUCCCUGGGUUAUGCGGCCUACCUCUUGGCCACUCACCCAGAUGUCCAGCAGAAGCUUCAAGAUGAGAUAGAUACCAUCUUGCCCAACAAGGUAAGAAUGUGUGGGUUGCAAAGGUGAGGCCAGACCUAAUGGAAAAGGUUUUUUGGGUGGGGUAGGGAAGUUACAGGAGAGUUAUUUAUCUAAUUUGGGGGGCAGGGACAGAGGAGUAAUAAAAAUGAACCAGUUAGAAACUAAAGCGAAAAUACACCAAAACACAAUUUAGUACCAGCAGUUAAAAUCCAGUUUGCCCUGACAUCAGCCCAGUGGUCAGCAUCACCUGGACCUUAGAUUUCAAAGGCCUGUUUGAACUGGAAGGUCUUAGCCUGCUGGCAGAGGGAUGACAGAGAGGGAGCCAGUCUAUCCCCUCUUGGGAGGGAAUAGUACAAUCUCAGAGCAGCCACAGAAAAGGCCCUGUCUCUCUUGAGUCAUUGCCAGUUGGGCUUCUGAUUUUGAUAUGAUCCAAGAGAAGGGGCUCAACUGAGGAUCUUAGCACCUGAGCCAUGUUAGAUUGGGGAAGUGGAGAGAGAAACACAUCAGUUGCAUAAGUUGCAUACCACCUGUGCAGCUGUUGAAUGCAGGGGCAAAGCUACCUGCCUUGGCACCUGGAGCUGCGGGGGCGGGGCUAGCUGGCCUGCAGGGGCGGGGCUAGCUGCCCACACAGCAAGCGUCCCUAGCACCUGCCACCCGCGCAGCGAGCGGGGUCUGUGUGUGUUUGGCGCGGAAUGUCACCUCCCCUCAUGGCUGACACCCGGUGCGUACUGCAUGCCCCGCAUCCGCCUUCCUCCACCAGUGGUUGAAUGCAACCCGUGGAGAUUGUCAUAUUUAUGGACAGAAAUCUCAGAAUAAGGCCACCUCAGCUGAGAUCUUUCCUUCUGAAGGUCUCUGUCUGAGCCUGGUUCAGGGUCCCACCGGUUACAGCUAACCUUCCCCCUUGAAUUCCCCCAAAGGCUCCUCUCACGUACGAUGCCAUCAUGCAACUGGAAUAUCUUGACAUGGUCCUCAGCGAAACGCAAAGGAUGUAUCCCCUUGGAGGACGGCUGCAAAGGACCUGCAAGAAAGAUGUAGAAAUCAAUGGGGUGACUAUCUUGAAAGGCAUGAGUGUGAUUAUCCCGCCUUACACGCUUCACCGGGAUCCCGAACACUGGCCGGAACCAGACGAAUUCAGACCUGAAAGGUAACCCUCCCAACCCCAACCCCUCCAAAAAGCGUUGUGCACCUGAUGAAAGGCCACGUGUUCGAAUGACAUGAGUGCAAGAUCUACCCAACCACUAGUAGAUCACCAGCUGCUCCUGAUUUCAGCCUCAGCUGGGCUGCUGACAUCAACAUCACCACCAUUUUAUUACAUUUAUUUAUAUCCCACAUUUUUUCUAGACAGGGACUCAAGACAUAGAAACAUAGCAAUUAAACUGUAAUAGAAUUCAACUGUGAUGAAGGCAUAUACAAACAUCACAAUGCCAGCCAGGAUAUCAGCAUUUUGCAGAUGCCUGGCUGGAGGUGAAAAUAAAACAGACAUCACUUUCACUCUCUCUUUAAAUGUGAGGUAACCAGAGGUUUCAUCUUCUCUUAGAACUGAGUAUAUUUCACUCAAAAUUCCACAUCCCUAUGGGUGUAAGUAUAGCAUCCAGUUUUCCUCAGAAAUAUUUAAGUCUUUACAGGUCCAUUCAAAACUAAAUAGGUACAUCAUCACCUUUUACUUACUUUUUAAACCUCUUUAUAUUAGCUGAGAUAAAAUCUCCACCCCCCAACAACGGUUGGGGCAGUUCUGCCCUCAGCUUAAUUUCCUCCAUUUUUAAAAGAAACAUAUCUUUUUCAUGGGCCAUCUUGGCCUCCCUUUCCCUGUAUUCUUGGGCUAAUCUGGCAUCUCUUUCUUUCUCUUUUUCCUCCUAAUCUGCUCUCUCUCUGUGCCAUAUCUCUCUCAGUCUGUAUCUGUGCUAACUGAAUGUCAGCUGCAGUUCUGGCUUGUUCAGCUGCUAAUUUUGCCUUUUCUUUCUCUGCUUCAACUUUAGCCAAUUCUAACCUUAACCUUGUCAUUUCUAACUCAGUACUAGGAUUUUCCUCAGGUGCAGUAGCUCCCUGCACUGGGUCAUCCCGAGUCUCUUUUGCUUGCCGCUUGCUGGUCAUUUUCUGACAGGAAAUUUUCCUUCUUUUAAUAAAAGAACUUCAGUACUUUAUUAAACUGGUUGUUCUGUGUCUCUGGGUACGUUUCUGUGUGGGUUUUAACUUCGUAUCGUGGCGCUGCCACCAAGUAAUAUGCUACGGGCGAAACAGCACUUUCCCCUCUCAAGCCGUUCUCAUUCAGAUAAUUUGCCCCCACCCCAUUUACCCAAAGGUUUUUUUCUCCUUAAAAUUCUAACCCAGAUUAUCCUACGGGGGACCGUUGUGAGGGGAAACCUGGGAAAUUGGAGUCUCAGGCCGGUUUUCUUUAAAGAUUUAUUUAAGGCAAGAUAGUAUAUAACACAAGUGAAAAAAAACUUAGGUUACUUCAGGAAUGCAAUGCUAUUUCACUUUAACUGAACCUCAGUUGUUUUUGGUUGCGUUAUACGCAGUGGUGUCCAAACGUUUUUCAAAGAGGGCCAGAUUUGAUGAAACUGCCACAGGGGCUGGAUUAGGCCCCCGAAAUGGACUUUGUACGUGCCUGCAGGUUGGUUCCUUUAUAAGGUGAUACAUUCUUUCAGCUACCCACCCCCUUUAACAAUCCUGCUCCUGAGGAACUUGAAGUAAUAGACCAAAGGGAUCUUCACACGCCAUCCCUUCACUGGGUCUGGGAGCUCCUUCUUUUCCUCAGAAGAAUCUCUCCCCUCCGGACUGGAUUGAGUCCCAAGGAGGCUGUUCCUUUCCAGCUCCUCCUUCUCCUGCCUCAGUCUCUGCCUCCCAGUAAAAUUCUGGUCUAUUCCUCCUACAGGACACCACACGUUGUCCUUCACAAUACGCUCAGAGCGGAAGUUCUUUCUUCUUUUUGUUUGGAACCAACUCUUUCUCCCCUUCACUCCUUUUACCUCAACCUGUCUCCUACCUAGGAAUCAUAAAACAGAGAAACCAGUAGGAGAACACUUCAGUCUCCCAGGACAUUCUGUACAAGAUCUUAAAGUGGCUGUCUUAUUGCAAAUGAGUUCCAGAAAUACACUUGAAAGAGAAGUUGCUGAAUUACAACUCAUUACCAAACGAAAAAGGGACGCAGGUGGCGCUGUGGGUAAACGCCUCAGCACCUAGGACUUGCUGAUCGAAAGGUCGGCGGUUCGAAUCCCCGCGGCGGGGUGCGCUCCCGUCGCUCGGUCCCAGCGCCUGCCAACCUAGCAGUUCAAAAGCACAAUUAAGUGCAAGUAGAUAAAUAGGGACCGCUUACUGGCGGGAAGGUAAACGGCGUUUCCGUGCGCUGCUCUGGUGCCGGUUCGCCAGAGCAGCUUUGUCACGCUGGCCAUGUGACCCGGAAGCCUUUGUUUACAAUUUGAUUGCUGAGCAGUGUGUUGACAGCUGCAUUUUGCCUGCUCUUUCUUUUUGCUUUGUUGCCUUACACUAUUCCAUUUGUCUAUUAGUUUUGUUCACAAAAAUCUUUUUGGAAGCUGUUGUUGUUCAGAAGAGCUGAUCCAUUUCACACUGCCACUCUUUACUACUGUGUCUUCUAACCAUAUGCAAAGCGUGCUGACUAACUGCAGACGUCUGUUGCGGCGCGUUUAUUUUCAUGGUGCUUGCCAGCCAUGCCUGCCCCACCCAGUAGCUGCUGAUCUGGUGGGGGCAGGGAAAGGAGGCAUUGCCCUCCCCUAUUCAGAAUGGGAGGGUUGGCAUCCAAUCCUGACCCCCGGGCACAAAAGCCUGAGAAGGGCGCAUCCAGACACCCCUAUAACAGGCUCCCUCUCUUGGCUGAGGUCCUGCCACCUUCCAGAGCCACAGGGAGGCAAGCUGAAUCCUGGCCGGGCCUUUGGGUAAGGUUACCAGAUUUUUUUCAGUGAAUCUGGGACACUUCAUUGAAAUGAGUCGGAAUGAUAGGAUUUUGUCAGGGGACAGAUUUGUAAAUCUGGGGACUGUCCAUGGGAAACGGGGACGUCUGGUAACCUUACCUUUGGGGCUGUGUGGCGCCUCCUUCUCCUUUUGGCCUGGCCAGCUGUCCUGGCUAAGCAGGAAGGUUGCUGAGCCACCAAGCCAAGUAGAAGCAUCUCCACUGCCAUCAGUGGCAGCAGCGUUGGCAGCCAUGUGUCUCCCUGGCUCUGCACUCCCUCCCUCCUGACACACCUCCACCCUACCUGCCCAGUCCAUGGGGGGUGGGGAUUUGCUCCAUCCUGGCCAUAAUGAAAGGGGUUUCUUCAAACAGUGUAAAUAGGGUCUGAGCAGGAAGAGCAAACAGACUCUUGAGGGACCUUUUGCAUCACAGACACCAUAGGUGGUACCAGUGGGUACUGUACUCAUGACCCCCAUUUGUGCGACACUACGCAGCAUCGUCCCCACUUGAUUCAGCUGGUGGAUGCAGCUGAGGAUGAGCAACUGAGAACCAGCUGCUGGUGAGCAAUGUCCCCUUGUUGUGAGCCCUGAGCUGCGGCCUUCUUCUUCCUUUGCCUCUCCCAUCAAGGCAUCAGAUCUGCCCGUUCUGGUUCCUUACCCAGCCUCCAUUUCUCUCAUCUCUGUGAAUGCAACCAGGUUCAGCAAAGAGAACAAGGAUCAAGUGGAUCCCUACCUAUACCUGCCCUUUGGAGCUGGUCCCCGGAACUGCUUGGGAAUGCGCUUUGCUCUCGUCACGAUGAAGGUGGCCAUUGCAAUCCUGGUGCAGCAUUUUUCCUUCAGGGUCUGCAAGGAAACUCCGGUGAGGAGGCUGGAUGUUGUGUGUGUGUGUGUGUGUGUGUGUGUGUGUGUAAGGAAGGGACCAGGGGCAUGACACUUGGAGUUUCAAUGUCUGGCACCAGUGCCCAAGGCAUAGAUAGCAUCAUACUGCAUGUUUUGAUUUAAGCCAGGGAAACCAAAACAUUGAAACUCCCCUGUGAUCUUCUGCUGGGGUCUUGAUGUUAAGAUGGGUUGACUGAUGUGCUGAUUGCUCUCUCGAUUCUCACCCUGCUGCAGAUUCCCCUUAAGAUGAGCAACAAAGCCUUCUUAGUGCCGGAGAAACCAAUAGUUCUGAAGAUGGUGCCACGAGGUGGUCCCCAAAAGGAGGAGUGAAGCCUGGUUGUGUCUCAUUCACUUCGGCAGCGAGUGCAAAAGCUUUGGGUGUUCCUCUGGGAAGUUUCCCCAAAGAGAACUACUAAUGGUUCCAGAGGAUCAAACUGAUUUGCAAACCGAAACGAAACUCGCUUUUAAAAACUGCACUUCAAUAAUAAAGGAUGGGGAAGAGCCAGCUCUAAGUUUCUAUUGUAAACCUUUUGCAAAAUAGAGCCUCCUUCCCCUCUUCCUUUUUUUACACACACAGUUCUGUUUGCUGUUAUAUUCCAUAUUUAUAAUCCAAUUUCUUCCACCUCACUUGUACAAAUAUAAUGUAAACUAAUAUUCAGAGGAGGGUUGCCGAAUAGUAAAUAUUGAGAAGAAAACUUUCAAUAAAGAAACCAUAGGCUCCUCCCCUCACUGGCUUUUGUACUGAGUGAAGUCCUAUCUCAAGUUGGUUUGUUCCACAGUUUGUGAUCUCAUCUCUUCUAGCAUGCACCUGUACUUUAGUCUGCUUCUUAAUGGUGGUGUUGCAGGGUUUUUGGCAGGUGAAGUGCUUUUGCACUCAGCGUUUCCCUGCCUCCAUGCUGAAGCGAGAGUCAGGUACCAAGACGAAUCAUCCUUAUUUUUCCUUCACCAAUGAUCUCCUGUUGUCAUGGAGGCUGCCUCCAUUACGGCAGUGUGGAACCGGAAGCUGUUGGAAAUGUAUUUUGAAUGAUCUUCCUUAUGCAGAGUAUAACACACUACAGUAGCCUUUAGCUGCAGACACACCAACACAUUUGCAGCACAAAAAUGUAGUCCCCCCCCUCAAUUCUUAAUCAUUCAUGUUCAUCUUCAACAUGCUGUUUUCAAUCAAAUGAAUCAUCAUAAUAAUUUUGUUAUUUGUACCCCUCCCAUCUGAUUCAAGAUCUUGCUGUCCAUAAGGGUGCGAGUGGUUACUUGAUACACAUUUGAACCCCCCCCCCCUUGAAGAAAUAAUCUACACCUCUCCCUCCCUGCACACAACCCAGAUGAAUGAAGGAGAAAGAGGUGAUUGCAUUCUUGGUAUAGGCCUACCCACAAUGCCAUUGGGCAGGUCUGGGUACACACACCACAUGGGUGAGACUACCUACAUCUUUUUUUACAAAUUGACACACUGUGGGGGAUUGCAGAAUCAAUCUGCAUUGAACUUUUGUUUUUGGAAUGGAAGCAGUUUAUUACGAAGCAUUUCAAA